CGCAAACUUUUUUAUCGAUAAGAACUCUCAAAAAAAAUUACGCUGUUAUCCCUAAGGUAAUUUAAUCUUAUAAUCAUAAACUAUGGAUCACUUAAUCAUAUAUCAAUGUUAUUAUUUAAAAAAAAUUUAUUUAAUUUUUUGAUUGCCCCAACCAAAUAUAAUUUAAUAUAUUUAAAUUUAAAAUUCUUUAACUUUCAAAAAUAUCAAAUUAUAUAAAACUCUAUAGGGUCUUCUCGUCUUUUAAGUUUAUUUAAGCUUUUUUACUUAAAAAUAAAAUUCUAAUUUAAAUUAAAUUGAGACAGUCUUUUUCUCGUGAGACCUUUCAUACCAGUUCCCAAUUAAAAAACUAAUUAUUAUGCUACCUUUGCACGGUCAAAGUACCGCAGCCAUUUAAAAACAAAUUAUUCAUAGGGCAGGCCAGACUUUAAAUUAUAAUCAAAAAGACAU
rnacentral:rRNA from 1 species